CCUACGGGAGGCAGCAGUGGGGAAUAUUGCGCAAUGGGCGAAAGCCUGACGCAGCGACGCCGCGUGAGGGAUGAAGGUCUUCGGAUCGUAAACCUCUGUCAGCAGGGAAGAACGGUCACUGUGCUAAUCAGCAGUGAAUUGACGGUACCUGCAAAGGAAGCACCGGCUAACUCCGUGCCAGCAGCCGCGGUAAUACGGAGGGUGCGAGCGUUAAUCGGAAUUACUGGGCGUAAAGCGCUCGUAGGCGGGAUGGCUAGGCAAGGGUGAAAUCCGCGCGCUUAACGUGGGAACUGCCUUUGAAACUGGCGAACUUGAGUGUGUGAGAGGUAAGUGGAAUGCCAGGUGUAGGAGUGAAAUCCGUAGAUAUCAGGAGGAACAUCGGUGGCGAAGGCGACUAUCUGGCACAUAACUGACGCUGAGGAGCGAAAGCGUGGGUAGCGAACAGGAUUAGAUACCCGUGUAGUC
rnacentral:rRNA from 1 species